CCCUUUCACUUUACUGUGGGAUGGCAACCCUUUUUGGAACCCCUCUCUGCAACAGAGAGCUGUUCUCUUUCCUUCACCUAUUAAACUCCUGCUUCUGCUCUGACCUCAUCCUCAGUGUGUCCGCAUCCUCGAUUUCCUCAGCUGUGAGACCAACAACUUGGGCACCCACCCAGGUAACAAGGCCUUUUCAAUAAGGGAAGUAGUAAAGCGUUUUCAAUCCCUGUUGCCAAAAAUUGGCCUAAGGCUUCCCUCUAAAAAAAGUAACCCAAAGCAGACAUGACAAAUAUUUGCCACAUUUGAUAAUAAGCCAAUAAAUUAUCUGCUAAUAAGUGACUGAAAUAUUUAGCACACAUCUGCCUUAUUCUGAUGACUGAUCACAUUUCUAGCUCCCCUGUGGACUAAAACAAUAUGCUUUCCUUCUCUACACAAGCAAUGCUUUCUGCAGAGACACAAACUUUACAUCUGAAUAAAAAUGCAGCACGUUUUAAUUCUGCCUCUCAUUCUCCAGCAAAAUCAUGGGGAAGAAGGAAAGCAUCCUUAGUCAAAAGGGGUACAGGGACUUAGAACCUCACCAUGCUGCCGUCAUGCAGGCAAUAGAGAAAGAUGGCGGUGGUUCCCUGGGGCAGUGGUGAACAAGUUCCCCUCUCAAGCAAGGAGACAGGGGCAGCACUCCUACCAUCCCCCCAGGGAUAUAGGAGUUAAGAAGGAAUUGCUUAGGCAGAUAGCAAGGGCAUGGGAGUCCUGGGUAAGGCUUUUCUUUUUAAUGAAAGCAGCCCCAAAUCAUUUUCUAACAAAGAGCAGCCUGCAAGCUGGGAGCUUGCAUAGGUGAAUGCCAGCAGGAACUAAGGACUAGACAUUUUCAAACUGGUGGCUCCAUCUUCCCUUCCCUGCCAGCCAAGAGUAUUGUAAGGAGCAGAAAAGAUGGCUCUGAUCAACUGGAAAGCCUAUUUGCAUAAUAAGAUUAGGGUGGAGCAACCAGCCUUCCCUGUACACUAUGUAGACGUCAAACCUGAUGGAACCAGUCUGUGAGCCCUAUGUAAAUCAGACACUGCCUUCUCCAACCUAUCUAUUAUACCUGUUUUGGUCCACCACGUCCCCACUUUUCAGAUGUCUCUCUCUCUCUCUAAGAGCUGCUCUCCUCUCUCUUUUCUUCUAUCUAUUAAACUUUCCACUCCCUAACCCACCCACAUGUGUCUGUGUCCUGAAUUCUUGGCAUGUGACAGUGAACCCCACAGUGUAUACCCCAGACAGCACAGCCACUUCACCAGCAGGGACAGCAGCUGUCACAUGAACUGGAGAUGAACUGCAGGUGAGUCUGAUGUCUUGGAAUUUUGAGGAAAGUGGGUAGAAAGUUGCCAAGCAAGCUGAAGAGACAAGCAAAAGGGAUCAUGUUCCAGAAGAAUUCUUAGCAAGACAACAGUCAGAACUUCAAUCAAGGUGAUUGAUUGGUCUGAAAGGGGGAAUAGAAUGUAAAUAAAAUACAACCAUGCGAAACCACAUGUAUGUUGUUGAACCUUAUCUAGACACUAACUGUGAAAAUGCCAGCUUGGAUUAUUGAUGAAGGACAUUCAGAAAACCACAAUUUUGCCAUGCUUAUUUUAGAGAACAGAGACGGUGGUGUUAUCAGCCUAUAGCUCAAUUGUAAAAUUGGGAUGACUAGGUGUCCCGAGACUAUUCUAUCCCUCAGCCCUCUCGACACUCACCUAAGAAGCUUCCAAAUUUACCACUUCUCAGUCAUUGUAAGGAUGCUGCAUGUCAUAAGGAUGAUUAUGGAAGAUUAUGGGCAUGUUCUACAUAGAGAACAUGAAAAGUCACAAUAUUUUCUUUUAUAAAUUAAUAUUUUGGCAUUUAUAUUAGUUCCCCUAAAUCUAAAUAACCAUGGGAAUACUGACAAAUUUGAUUUUCCAGAACUUUAAAGCCAAGGCUAGACACUAACCACAGUGACUUUAUCUAUGUAGUACCACACUCUACCAGCUGGGAUGUCUGGAUAACAGGGUCCCCAGAUUGCAGCCUCCCUCCAGCACCAAGUAGGAUUACGAGUCUGUUUGGUUUCAUUUUAGCUAUGUAGAUUUGCCAAAUUUUGUCACCUCUGGAUUUCAGUUUUCUCAUAUGUAAUAUGGUGCACUGGCCUGAAUGUUUUUGGAGAACCUUCAAUCUCUGAGUCGCUUCAAUGAAAAAAUUGUUGACUUUCUUUUUUUUAUUGUUCUGUUUUUCUUUUCAAUGUCAAAAAAGCACUAUGGUAAAAGUCUUUCAGUAAAACUUGAAACUUGGGGCUUGUUCCUGAGUUUGACAUGUUAAACAAAUGAAAGAACUGUUUUCAACUGAUUAGUCAUAUCCUUCUUCAAUUCCUACGGGAAUAUGGGUUAGUUGUGCAUGAGAAAGUCAGCCAACUUUGGCAUGAAGAUGUCUUUCAGGUAGGUAGGCCACCUGUGAUGAAGUGAAUCAUUGAAGAAAGUCUAUUUUCUUGUGGCAUAAAUACAAGCCUGAAGAUUACACGUAAGCUGUCAUACACGUACCUCCUAAAUGCAAUUCCUCAGAAGUGACAUGCUAUCAUCAUUCACAUUAAUGUCUAUUUCUGCAACUAUAUUGUUUGAAAUAAUCAACCAAUUAAUCACAAUAGAUAUUUGGGAGGAGUGAGGGAGCUUUCUCUGUACUAAUGAAAGAAAUGACAUUUCUGUUUACCAUUUGUCAGUUUUAAGUAGUUAAUAAAUGUCUGUAAUGAUUUUCAUA
rnacentral:lncRNA from 1 species